AUUGAACGCUGGCGGAAUGCUUUACACAUGCAAGUCGAGCGGCAGCGCGGGGGCAACCCUGGCGGCAAGCGGCGAACGGGUGAGUAAUACAUCGGAACGUGUCCUUAAGUGGGGGAUAGCUCGGCGAAAGCCGGAUUAAUACCGCAUAAGCUCUGAGGAGGAAAGCGGGGGCUCCGUAAGGACCUCGCGCUGUUGGAGCGGCCGAUGUCGGAUUAGCUAGUUGGUGGGGUAAAGGCCCACCAAGGCGACGAUCCGUAGCUGGUCUGAGAGGAUGAUCAGCCACACUGGAACUGAGACACGGUCCAGACUCCUACGGGAGGCAGCAGUGGGGAAUUUUGGACAAUGGGGGCAACCCUGAUCCAGCCAUUCCGCGUGAGUGAAGAAGGCCU
rnacentral:rRNA from 1 species